UACGGAGGGAGCUAGCGUUGUUCGGAAUUACUGGGCGUAAAGCGCACGUAGGCGGCUUUGUACGUUAGAGGUGAAAGCCCGGAGCUCAACUCCGGAACUGCCUUUAAGACUGCAUCGCUUGAAUCCAGGAGAGGUGAGUGGAAUUCCGAGUGUAGAGGUGAAAUUCGUAGAUAUUCGGAAGAACACCAGUGGCGAAGGCGACUCGCUGGACAAGUAUUGACGCUGAGGUGCGAAAGCGUGGGGAGCAAACAGG
rnacentral:rRNA from 1 species